rnacentral:lncRNA from 1 species
CAUCCCCUGAGCAUAGAAUGUUAUCCUCAUAGAAUAUUGGAAUAUUAGAAUUAGAAUAUUAGAAUAAUAGCUCACAGAAUAGCAUCCUGCUCUUGGAGGACUGCAUCAUGGAGCCUGGCAGAUAGUUUGGUGUGCUUAGCAUUUCAAAUUUAUAGAACUGAAAACGUUGAGAGGUGGUUGUGAUAUAAGCAGACUCUACUGUAGGGGUGAGCUAUGGGCAAGGCUGCUGUAGAGCUGACUUAUGAAGAUGAAGCAAACAUGGACAAAGAUGUGCCAAGUAUAAGCAUGAGCCAAUGCAUCACUGUCUUUCUUGAAGAAAAAUUUGUUGUUGGACAAUUAGGAUGUACUUGGAGGUAUCCUUGUUGCCAAGAUGCCAGAGAGGAUGUACUUGGGGCUGCUCUGUCUAGAGUGCUGCAAGAGAAGUCCUUCCCAUUCAGGGAUAUAUUCUCUAAAGCCACUGAUAAGAGCCAUAAAGUAACAGUUAUCAUCAGGAGAAAGUGUUGACUAGCAGAUGCAUGUGCCAACCCAACCAUGAAUGUGAUGUUCGAUUUGGAACAUUUCCAGUUGAAAAUCUUGGAAGUAAGAGGUAAGGCUCUUUAAAGCACGU